rnacentral:rRNA from 1 species
GACGAACGCUGGCGGCGUGCUUAACACAUGCAAGUCGAACGAAAUGGCGAACGGGUGAGUAACGCGUAAUCAACCUGCCCUUCAGUGGGGGACAACAGUUGGAAACGACUGCUAAUACCGCAUACUGAAGGAGGGGACUGCGUCUGCUUAGCGCGUUGGAGGGGUACGGGCCCACCAAGGCGAUGAUCAGUAGCCGGUCUGAGAGGAUGAUCGGCCAACUUGGGACUGAGAGACGGCCCAGACUCCUACGGGAGGCAGCAGUGGGGACUCUUCCGCAAUAGACGAAGGGCUGACGGAGCAACGCCGCGUGAGUGAUGACGGCCUUCGGGUUGUAAAGCUCUGUUAAUCGGGACACGGUACCGGAAUAGAAAGCCACGGCUAACUACGUGCCAGCAGCCGCGGUAAUAC